UACGCCUGCAGUUUAUGAGGAUGAGUACCUCCGCAGGAGGUUCGAGCCUCGCGAAGCGAGACGACGUUGCUUUAGCAACGGCCCGCAGAGCGCGUAUCCAGGAUGUGCGUAAUUUUUCUCUCGCUGACC
rnacentral:sRNA from 1 species